rnacentral:rRNA from 1 species
AUUGAACGCUGGCGGAAUGCUUUACACAUGCAAGUCGAACGGCAGCACGGACUUCGGUCUGGUGGCGAGUGGCGAACGGGAGUAAUGUAUCGGAACGUGCCCAGUCGUGGGGGAUAACGUAGUGAAAAUUACGCUAAUACCGCAUACGAUCUAUGGAUGAAAGCGGGGGAUCGCAAGACCUCGCGCGAUUGGAGAGGCCGAUAUCAGAUUAGGUAGUUGGUGGGGUAAAGGCCAACCAAGACAACGAUCUGUAGCUGGUCUGAGCGGACGACCAGCCACACUGGAACCGAGACACGGUCCAGACUCAUACGGGAGGCAGCAGUGGGGAAUUUUGGACAAUGGGCGAAAGCCUGAUCCAGCCAUUCCGCGUGCAGGAUUAAGGCCCUCGGGUUGUAAACUGCUUUUGUACAGAACGAAAAGGUUUCUGCUAAUACUAGGAGCUCAUGACGGUACUGUAAGAAUAAGCACUGGCUAACUACGUGCCAGCCGCCGCCGUAA